rnacentral:rRNA from 1 species
GAGCGGGCAUCGCGAGAUGUCAGCGGCAGACGGGAGAGUAACACGUGGGAACAUGCCCUUCGGUUCGGAAUAACUCAGGGAAACUUGAGCUAAUACCGCAUACGCCCCAUGAGCGAUCAUGGGGGAAAGAUUUAUCGCUCGAGGAGGGGCCCGCGUGGGAUUAGCUAGUUGGUGAGGUAACGGCUCACCAAGGCGAUGAUCCCUAGCUGGUCUGAGAGGAUGAUCAGCCACACUGGGACUGAGACACGGCCCAGACUCCUACGGGAGGCAGCAGUGGGGAAUAUUGGACAAUGGGGGCAACCCUGAUCCAGCAAUGCCGCGUGAGUGAUGAAGGCCUUAGGGUUGUAAAGCUCUUUCGCCCGCGACGAUGAUGACGGUAGCGGGAGAAGAAGCCCCGGCUAACUUCGUG